GACGUAGGAGGCGAGCGUUGUCCGGAUUCAUUGGGCGUAAAGAGCGCGCAGGCGGCUUGGUAAGUCGGAUGUGAAAUCCCGAGGCUCAACCUCGGGUCUGCAUCCGAUACUGCCCGGCUAGAGGUAGGUAGGGGAGAUCGGAAUUCCGGGUGUAGUGGUGAAAUGCGUAGAGAUCCGGAGGAACCCCAGAGGCGAAGGCGGCGUCCUGGCCCAUUUCUGACGUUCAGACAUGACAGCAUGGGGAGCGAACGGG
rnacentral:rRNA from 1 species